GCUACUGCAUCAAGGUUCAAAUUCCUGCAAUAAUACCAGCCGCCUGACGCAGACAGAAGCUAGAGGAUUAGAUGCACUUCUUAUCUUCAAGGAAUAAAUAUCAUAAUGCUUGGUCUAUAAAAAGGAGGAGCCAAGGAGAUCAGAAACCAGACCAGCCUCAGCUCUUCUAAAACUCCAGGUAGACAGUGUCCGACAUGAGCUGCUACCAGGAAAGGUUUUCCUCGGAGGAUGACUACUGCACCUACGCGUCGAAAAUGGAGAAGAAGACAGACAUGACUAAAGGGCCUCACUUCCCUCAGCUUCACACUGUGAUCAAGCACAAGGAGGUCCAUAUGGAAGAGGACGAGUCACGCCCUGGAAUCUUUGGCCGGCCGAGGCACGAGGAGUGGUCUGAAGAGGAGACCUAUGAAAUGUCUGAGACCACCUACGCAGGCGACAUGGGCAUGAAAGGGGGAGAGCGCAUCAGGCGCAAGGUGUAUAUAUGAGACUAUCAUCUAUAUAUAGUUCUGUGGUGAUGGAUGCCAUGGCUUGGCAUCUUUAUAUAUAGAAUAAAUCUCGGGCUUAUCUGCUGUAUAUCCAUAUGAAUAAUACUAUACUUCUCUAGUACUCAAGCUAUAGCUCUAUACUUUAGCCUACUACAUUCACUCUUGAUAUCUUUAGUACGCGCGUGUUUUCAGGUAAAUUUUUUGAGAAUACUACCCAACUCUUUCCCCCUUCAUUUUGAUAAUAUAAUCGGGAAAGAAGUAGGCUAGUCUCCGCUUUGAAUCCUAAAUAUAUUGGUGCAAGAUCGACCGAUGGCAUUCUAAAAUGUUGAUCCAAGCCACUGAUAAUGAUAUAUAUAACAUGUAAGACAUCCGCAAGAAUCAAGUAUUUUGUAAGUUAUCUAUCUAUUAUGCAUCAAGGGGAUGCAAAUGGACGGCAUGAGUAGUGCUAAUGUGUUAAAAUGCAUGAUAGGGUGUGAGAAAAAUUUUGAAUCCAGUCCAUCGAUUAUGAUCGCUCCAUAGAAAGCAUAUGUCAAAUAAAGUUCAAUAUGUUUGAGCACUUCUAAGUCAUAUGUAAACAUGAACUAGAUCGAACAACAUGUAUGAUGAAACCUUUUUGUUUUUGAAGAUUGUUUAUAAAAGGUUUUUGAGCUUUUGGAAGCAAAGUUUAUAGCUUUCAUAAAAAGAGUGAAAAUAAAAUCAAGGAAUAGUAAAAGUUUUGUGCAGAUGCUACCUCGGACAUCAAUCUGCAUGUAGGAAUAGCCAAAUAGGACCUGCAACUCUGUUUCCUAGGGGAAAAAAAAAAAAGCUGAGAUUUUAGGGACGGUUGCAAAAUGUUGCAGUUCCCGUUUUCUUCAGAUUUUCUAAAGCUGGAACUUUCUCGGUUUUGUUACUUCAAGUUCCUUUCUGAGAACUCAGAAAUUCUAACAUAUUUCUGUAGCAAUUUCCGAAGCUGUUUUAAUGAAGCUGUAACUACUACCUAUCAUUAUGGUUUUUAACUUACAGGCUUGAAGCAUAACGCGCUCCCAGUUGCACCCCUAUUUUAAGUGUCUUUGGAGCAUUUUUCAAGACAAAACGAGAACAUAGGAUAAUUUUUGGCCCAGAUCUUGCCACAUAUCGCCGCAAGUGUUGGCUGAUUCUCCUUCUUGAUUAAAGCAGACAAUGCCAGUGAUCAAACACAACAUAAGUUCACGUAUAUAAGCAAUUCACUAAGAUCUACACCAAAGAGGUGCAGUGGCAAAGAAGCAACCAACUCAGAGAACCUUUGGAAGAAGGCUUAGCCCAAAGAAGGCACAAACUUUGCCCUCCCCUGAGGCCAUCCUUUCAGAUCCCUCGGUUCCCACCACCUUCUCUCUCCCUCUCUCCUGCGGACGUGCCGGUGCUGCAGCGCAGAGAGAGACCCUGCAUCAAUGCCAUGCGGAUUCGUGCAAAGCAAACUAACGUUCCCCAUGCCAAAAGCGGAUUACUCUACUGCCUCUAUAUAUAGAUCUCUUGCUUUCUUCUCAGCUCGCCACUCUUUCUUCCACCGAUUCUUCCAGAAUUAAUAUUAGAGCCAUGGCUGUCUUCCGUCGAGCCUAUUUGUUUCGAGAUAUCUUCCGUUGAUGAGUGACUUGCUCGUCUUUCAUGGUCACUUGACGACGUUGGUGCCCUGAAGUCGCGCCAAUGGCAACCUCGCGUUGACGUGGGGGGAAUUAAGCUCGUUUCUAUGGGUGCUCUUCUUGCUUUAUUUUCCGCUUUCUGCUCUCUAACGUAUGGGAAUUGAUUUGUGUGAGGUUGGAAGGGGAUCCAAGUGUAUGGUGAUAUAAUAGCAGCCUUAAAUAUCAGCUUUUUGCUAUUCUAAUAUUGGGUUCGGGUUGUAUCUUCCGUGGGAAAGAAUGAUUCAUCUUUUUUUUCCACGAGGUCAACCAUUGGAUUGUGCAACGGCCACUUUAAGAUCUGUGCAGGUGGAUGAAAAAAAAAAGAGUUUGGUGUGCUUUGGAUCAUUCUUUCACGUGAAAGAUACAACCUAGAUCCUUUGAUAUAUGCACAUUUCCGAAGUGGUCAAAGUGUUUACCAUAAAGAAGAUUGGAGUCUUGAGUGCUCAAAAGAUGUUCGUAGCUAUAAGUGAGGUUGCAUAUUGCACCUAUAAGACUUAUUGAAUGUAUAGUGAUUGUAUGGAGUUCCUCCUCCACCAAGAUGGUCAUGACCUCGCAUUAAGAAUUGGCUGUGUUGUUAUAUUGAAUAAUCAAUAUUAACAAUCCACUUUAAAAAUCAUUGUCAAGGAUAGAGAUGCGAACUUGGUUGAAAUAGCUUAUAAGUGGUCCCUUAACUUGAAAUAAUAGAAUACCUUACUACAAUUUUGUGACAAAAUCCAUGUAUUAAUAAUGAUACCCUUGAUAAGAGGCAUAGUGGUUUAUUGGAUUCAGAUACAAAUAAGGGUCUAGUUGUCCAACAUGAAAUCAACCAUAUGUUACAAUGUUAAUAUUAAAACAUAGAGAUGGUCAGACAUAUGAGACCCACAACCCAGCUAAUUACUUAAAGUUUUAAAAAUAAUUAUUUUGGAAAAAAAUAUUAUUAAGAACAAUGGUAAAUUAUUUUCAAAAGGUUUCAUGUGCAUUGAAAUCCAAUCCAAUCCACCACCAUAAGCUCUCUCACGCGCGCAUAUAUAUAUAUAUAUAUAUAUAUAUAUUCGUUAUAUAUAUAUAUAUAUAUAUAUAUAUAUUCGAAUUUGCCCCUCUUGGUUUCAAGUUAGCAUGUUUUAUAGAAUGGCAAUUUUAGAUGAAGUUUGGUCUAGGACCUCUAGGUAUAGAUGUGUAGGAAUAGAUUUGCACAAUUUGAUGAGUCGGUGAAUAUUUUGGUGUAAUUUGACAUAUUCAAUAUUCUAUUUUGCAUGGUUGCAAUUUUCUGUUUUCAAUUUUCCUUAAAAACUAAAGAAAUUGCCACGGGAAUGGUGUUUGAUAAUCUAUUUUCUUUUUUAGUUUUUUUGAAAACUUUUUCUUAGUUUCUAAAAAUUUAUGCAAGUUUAAAAUUUUGUUUCCAAAAUUUCUAAAAAUCAAACCACUCAUGAUCCUCCACCAUCAUCUUUGUUGCUAUUGCCUCUGUCACCACCUAUCAACCACUAUCCUCUCGCCAACCACAAUCAUCUCCACUAUCACUGCAAUCAGCAUUGCUAACAUUGCUGCCAAAUGCAUUCCAUGCAACCAUUAGAUGUUAGGUUUUUGAUUGAAGGAGGCUUGUUUGAGGAAUCUCUUUUAGAGAUGUAACGUGAAAGAUAAAUGGAGAAUCGACCUUGCGACCUAGAGAGGGGAAUUUCAAAAAAUUCGAUGAAAAGAGAGAAAAAGAAGGGAAUAUAUAUUUGUGGUGUGGUUAACUAAGCUGAUUGAUAUUGAUGGUAUUCGAAUUUGAUAAGACAAGGAUUAGAAUUCUUUCAUAUGAAGUAUGCGAAUGAAGAACUGGUGGUCUAGAUCAUUGAGGAAUGAGAAUAAGAAAGCGAGCAAUGAAGAUAGGAGGUGGGUCCUAAAAUUUAAAGGGGCAAGGAGGCUGCACUGGAACUAUUUGGAAAUCCCAAGAACAUUUAAUUUCUCAGGAUGGCCAUGGCCCUUGCCCCCUCCCCUGCCGGUUCCAGCAUUCACAAACUGAUGCAUUCUUUUAGUCUUCUAAAUCUACUUCAUAUAGUUUCUAGGAGCUUGGGUUGUCUCUAUGGUUCAUAAACCUUACAAGAAUGUUUACCUUCUGAUGUCAGCAUAUGAUAUAUAACGAUGACAAGUGCCUCUACCUGUGGGUCGAUGAAGAAUGGUAUGAUCAAUUCAGGUUUCCAAGCACAGAAGAACGGUACAAAGAUAGCAGCAGCAAGACAUUCAAACAUUGUUGAUCUCAGAAAACCAUGUUGCCCAUGCUGUAACGCAGCACUGGUUUGUAAGCUAGGAAAUGAUCAAGGAAUAGGAUGGACUCCAAUGGACACAGGCCUAUGUGAACUUGGAGAGGAGCACUGUACUAGUAAAGUGAAUGCAACUCAGCUAUGGUGCUCAUAUUCUGCCCCUAUGUAAAUUUCAAACUUCUCUCUUUUUCUUCUUGGGAAAUAUCGAACCUAUUCAACCAUCUGAUGGUGAUUACAAACAUUUUAAACUAACUUUUUCCAGAGCAAUUCCAAACGGUGGAGAAAUUGUUUGCAUAUGAUGAGGUAUGGGAUCACAAAGUAAUAUAAUUAUUGUCGAGUAUAUCUUUGAGUUUACGGGCUCUAGAAAGGCAAAAAAAAUCUUUUCCCCCAUGAGAGAAGCAAGUGGUGCAGAGUGCAAAGAGCGAAGCAAGCAUUAGCAUCCUUGUUUUAUUUGGGCCGCACAGGAUGAGAUAAAUUUAUUUAUAUAUUGUUCUAGAAACCGACAUUAGCAUCAGUGGGUGCUUCCAAUACCACCCAAAGCUACUGCAUCAAGGUUCAAAUUCAUGCAAUAACACUAGCCGCCUGACGCAGACAGAAGUUAGAGGAUUAGAUGCGCUUCUUAUCUUUUUUCUUUUUUUUUGGUACAGAUGCACUUCUUAUCUUCAAGGAAUAAAUAUCAUAAGGCUUGGUCUAUAAAAAGGAGGAGCCAAGGAGCUCAGAAACCAGACCAGCCUCAGCUCUUCUAAAACUCCAGGUAGACAGUGUCCAACAUGAGCUGCACCUACGAGUCGAAAAUGGAGAAGACAAGCAUGACUGAAGGGCCUCACUCCCCUCAGCUUCACACUGUGAUCAAGCACAAGGAGGUCCAUGAGGAAGAGGAGAAGCCACGCCACGGAAUCUUCGGCCGGCCAAGGAACAAGGAGUGGUCUGAAGAGGAGACCUAUGAAAUCUCUGAGACAACCUACGCAGGCGACAUGGGCAUGCAAGGAGGAGAGUGCAUCAGGCGCAAGGAGUAUAUAUGAGACCAUACAUCAAGGCAGCUUGAGAGCAUCAUCUAUCUAUAGUUCUGUGAUGAUGGAUGCCAUGGCUUGGCAUCUUUAUAUAUAGAAUAAAUCUCUGGCUUAUCUACUGUAUAUCCAUAUGAAUAAUACUAUACUUCUCUAGUACUCAAGGUAUAGCUCUAUACUUUAGCCUACUACAUUCACUCUUGAUAUCUUUAGUACGCGCGUGUUUUCAGGUAGAUUUUUUGAGAAUACUACACCAACUCUUUCCCCCUUCAUUUUGAUAAUAUAAUCGGGAAAGAAGUAGGCUAGUCUCCGCUUUGAAUCCUAAAUAUAUUGGUGCAAGAUCGACCGAUGGCAUUCUAAAAUGUUGAUCCAAGCCACUGAUAAUGAUAUAUAUAACAUGCAAGACAUCCGCAAGAAUCAAGUAUUUUGUAAGUUUUCUAUCUAUUAUGCAUCAAGAGGAUGCAACUGGACGGCAUGAGUAGUGCUAAUGUGUUAAAAUGCAUGAUAGGGUGUGAGAAAAAUUUUGAAUCCAGUCCGUCGAUUAUGAUCGCUCCAUAGAAAGCAUAUGUGAAAUAAAGUUCAAUAUGUUUGCUUCUAAGUCACAUGAAAACAUGAACUCGAUCCAACAACAUGUGUGAUGAAACCUUUUUGUUUUUGAAGAUUGUUUGUAAAAGUUUUUGAGCUUUUGGAAGCAAAGUUUAUAGCUUUCAUAGAAGGAGUGAAAAUAAAGCAAGGAAUAGAAAAAGUUUUGUACAGAUGCCACCUUGGACAUCAAUCUGCAUGUGGUAUUUCACUAAUAUAGGAAUAGCAUUGAUAUCCUUGAUAAGGGGCAUAGUGGUUUAUUGGAUACAGAUACAAAUAAGGAUCUAGUUGUCCAACAUGGAAUCUACCAUAUGUUACUAUGUCGAUAUUAAAACAUAGAGAUGGUCAGACACAUGAGACCCAGAGCCCAGCUAAUUACAUAAAGUUUUAAAAACAAGUAUUUUGGAAAAAUUAUUAUUAAAGGCAAUGAUUAAUUAUUUUUAAAAGGUUUCAUGUGAAUUGAAGUCCAAUCUAGUCCACCUGCAUAAGAGCAUAUAUAUAUNNNNNNNNNNNNNNNNNNNNNNNNNNNNNNNNNNNNNNNNNNNNNNNNNNNNNNNNNNNNNNNNNNNNNNNNNNNNNNNNNNNNNNNNNNNNNNNNNNNNNNNNNNNNNNNNNNNNNNNNNNNNNNNNNNNNNNNNNNNNNAUAUAGAUGUGUAGGAAUAGAUUUGCACACCUUGAUGAGUCGGUGAAUAUUUUGGUGUAAUUUGAUAUAUUCAAUAUUCUAUUUCGCAUGGUCGCAAUUUUUUGUGUCAAUUUUUCUUAAAAAAUAAAGAAAUUGACAUAAGAAUGGUGUUUGUUGAUCUAAUUUCUAUUUUUAGUUUUUUUGAAAACUUUUUCUUAGUUUCUAAAAAUUUGUACAACUCUAAAAUUUGGUUUCCAAAAUUUCUAAAAAUCAAACCACUCAUGCCCCUCCACCAUCAUCAUUGUCGCUAUUGCCACAAACACCUUCGAUGUCACCCAUCAACCACCAUCCUCUCGCCAACCACAAUCAUCUUUAUUAUCACAUCAAUCGACAUUUCAAAUGCAAUCCAUGUAACCAUUAGACGUCAGGUUUUUGAUUUUCAAAAAAAAUAUUUUUAAUUUUUGAAAAACUAUAAGUUGGAAGUUGUUUCAAACAUUAUUAGAAAGCAAUGAAGUCUAGCAUCACAUAAUAUUUUCUAAAAACUUUUAAUUCCAAAACGACAACCAUGUACUUAGUUUCUAACAUGCAUCACAUGUGCCCAAUGCUAGCUAGAUUUGAAGCAAAUGAUGAUUCCUUUUCUAGAAGUGGUAAUAGCAUCACAUGUGCCCAAUGCUAGCUAGAUUUGAAGCAAACGACGAUUCCCUUUCUAGAAGUGGUAAUAGCGUGGCCGGUUGAAAUUAUCAUGUUUAGUUAAUCGAUUCCCAGAUUCAAAUUACAUCUAAUAACAUAAGACCCAAACUAGAUUUACAAACCUAGCCCAUAUCCAAACUAGUGCCUAAUUAAUUUCGUGCCUAGGGUGAAGAGCCAAGUGCCUAGGUGAAGGGCUCUUGUUUCACAUGAGUAUUUAUCUAUGUUGUAUGUUUAUCUAUCAUUGAUUUAAGCAUACAAAUAUUCAAUCUACAUUAAAAUUAAGAAAAGAGAGCAUUCAAACUUAUGAUUUCUAUAUAAGCACCCAUAAGUUGUUCCUCUUUAGCAAUUAUGUCGCAUUGCAAGCUUGUCAUCUUUCUACAAAAAUAUAUUAUUUAGAUGAAAACAUCCUAGAAUAUCUUCUUAUUAGGAGGCUGCUCUUCUAAAUUCCUUAAUACAUUAUAAAAUUUCACCUUUAUGUAAGUCUGAAAUAUGUUAAGGUUGGCAAAAGGAAAGCCUGAAAGAGGCAGUGAGUCAAUGAGGAGUCGUUGACCCAAAGAACUUUUUCAUGUUUAUUCCCACCCCCGCUAGGGUUUCGUUAAAUUGGUUCGCCCGCAAACCCUAGCUCCGAAAUCCUUCCCUCAACCCCUCCCAUCCCAUGCGCUGUUCUUGAAAUCCCCCCAAUCGUAAGACAGCAGCAGCUCAAACUCCAACCAACAAUGGCGAGACGAGGCCUCCUCCUUCUCCGGCAAUUCCUCCGCGACUCGGCCGCCGCGUCCUCCUCCCCUCUGCCACUGAGAGCCCUCGCCUCCGCCGAGAGCCGGCGGUCGGUGACCUACAUGCCCCGCCCCGGGGACGGGGCGCCGCGGGCGGUGACCCUGAUCCCCGGCGACGGGAUCGGCCCUCUCGUCACCGGCGCCGUCCGGCAGGUCAUGGAGGCGAUGCACGCCCCGGUCUACUUCGAGACCUACGAGGUCCACGGCGCAAUGGACACCGUCCCGUCGGAGGUCAUCGAGUCCAUACGGAAGAACAAGGUCUGCCUCAAGGGCGGCCUCGCUACCCCCGUCGGCGGUGGGGUCAGCUCCCUCAACGUCCAGCUCCGAAAGGAGCUCGAUCUCUACGCGUCCCUCGUCAAUUGCUUCAACCUCCCCGGCCUCCCCACAAGGCACCAGAACGUCGACAUCGUGGUCAUCAGGGAAAAUACGGAGGGGGAGUACUCGGGGUUGGAGCAUGAGGUGGUUCCCGGUGUUGUCGAAAGCCUCAAGGUAUAAUCUUUACUCUGUCUUGCCUGCCGCCACUUGGAUCUCCGUAUUGAGGAACAUAUGCAUUGGCAAAUGUAAUCUCUUUCGCACUUGAUUACGAUUUGGGUCAAUAUACUUUAUAGGUUUGGUUUUAGCUAUAUGGUUAUGUGUAACUGAUGAGGGUGAGAGAGUGCUAGGUAUAUAGGAAGAAUUGUAGGGGAAGUAAAGGUUUUGAUCUUUCGCAAGAGGAUUGAUAAUUUUAUGUUUAUGUUAAGGCAUUCUGUAAAGGAGAUGACAAGGAAAGUAGAAAAAGGAUGUUAGAAAGAUGUCCGAUUUGAAGCACGCGGUUAGGACAAAAAUUUGAUCAUCAAAUUCAGCUUCAAAUUGUGCAUUUGAGAGACUGAUGAUUUUUCGUGAUCCUUUAUGUCAAUAUUUGCUUUUUAUGCCAUGCUGGAGUAAGGACUCAAUCAAGAAAGACCAAUUCUUGGCAACAGGACCUCGGUCUGCUCGUUGGAACACACGCACAUACAGAGAGAGAGAAAGGAAGGGAGGGAACGAAAAUUACAAGUCAUUGUCGGAGGGGAGGACUCUGUGACAGUGGAAUCUGAGAGGCAUUAAUGAUACUUUGAUAAGAGUACCUCAAAAAAGAUAGCAAAGAGAGAACUAUGGAUAUUGAGAGAAGUUGUAGUGGAGGAGGCAUCCUCCCCUCCACAGUCAUGUAGCCUAAAAUUAUAUGGAGAUAGGUUAUAAAGGUGUGAAAUAAUAAUUGCUGGUGCAUUAAAAUUGAGGAGGGUGAGUUGGAGAAGAGAUAUGGUUGUCUUAAGUGUUCUUUUGUUGUUAGCAUGAAGGAGCCCCUACUUGGAGGGAUGGAUAUUGAUUAUGGAUAUACAAGUGAUAUUGGGUAUACUGGGACAUUGAGCAUUCUAAGAUGAUGAUUACUUUGUAAAUCACAAUGUAUUAAAAAGCGGAUGGCAAGCAUGUAGCUGUCGGGUGUUUCGUGGUGGAUAGCAGAUAGUGGACACUAUUGUAGGCACCAUGAACCAAAACAGGCCGCUAAAACAUGCCAAUAUUUUUCUUUCUAAGUACGAAAAAAGAUCAAUAUCUUAUGCCAUAACAGCAACAAUUUCCCAUAAUUCCUUGCUAUUAUAGCAAUAGCAUCAGGGGAAGAGUCAAAUCCUUUUUAUUUGUGUGCCAUAACAGCAAGGAACAGGGGAAUGCGAUUGAAAUAACAGCCAGAGGCCCAGAAAUCUACUUUUUUGCUGCUUAGAUUGGAAGUAAACAAAAAAUAGGGAAGAAGAAAACAAGAAGGGAAAGGAGGAUGGAGCAAACAGAAAAAUAGAGGUACAACAUGCCUCUACUUCUGCCAUACUGCCACCACCUUCCUUUACAUCCUUUUUAUCUGGGUCUUAUUGUUUAGUUGUUGCCACACUUGUGAUUACCUCAUCACGUUCUCCUCCAUUCUCAUCUAUUCCUUUCCCUAAUAGCUUUACCUUUCCCUUCAUUGCAAAGGCCAUUUCCACCCUUAGCUGUGCCUCCUAAGGUGUCUAGAUUCACUAUGAGGUGUUGAGAUGUGAAUUCUAAUCCAACAUUUACAUGGCAAGGGCUCUCCAUAGAUUUCAUUCUUCUUUUCUAGACAUUGGAUCUGCUCAACAGCUCUUCUAUUUGAGUUCUGAGACAUUGUGUUAAUCUUGUGAAAAAUGACAAUUAAUUGGUAUGUAAAGUCUGAGGUGAGAGAAAUGAUGUAUUUUGAAGUGUGAUUGCACUUGGGUAUGCUAGGAAGGCUUAGUAGAAUGUUGGGCAUCUUUGUUUAACAGAAUGCUGGUCGUGAGGAAUAUUAUGACCUGGAAUUUGAUGGUGUUGAGGUUCACGAGGCAUGGGUUGUUGCCACUAGGAGGGAAGCUGUUUGAUGACAUACUAGUGAAGAUCAUGUUGUUGUGAAAUUUGAUGGUUUCAGGGUCUGGUUGGAACGGGAGAUGGACUAAGGGAAUUGUCUGAUCAAUGCUUGAGACAGAUGUCAUUUUUUGGAGCUGCAUCAUUUCUUGUUAUGCACAAAUUAACUGAUAUACAAAGGUGCAGAGUUCUUCAAACAGAUUUAUUAUAGAUUAGUGUAGAGUCUGUAGACCCAAUGGAGCCACAAUGGCAGUGUGCUCUUGGCUUGUGCACAACUUGCAGACUCGGAUCAAGGGAAACGAGUUCAUGCUUACAUUAAUAAGAAAUGUUUGGCUUUAGAUGAUGACAAUAAUACUGGGGCUUAUCGAUAUGUUUGCCAGGGAACUGUAGGUCUUAAAAAUGUGCAGUUGGAGAGUAUUGUGAAGCCCGAUGAAGUCACUGUGGUUAUUGUGCACUUGAUGAGUGUAAAGCCUUGUAUCGAGGGAAAUGGGCCCAUGUUUACAUCAACAAGAACCGGAUGAGUUUAGAUGAUGACAGUAAUUUUGUGGCUGUGUUGAUCAAUAUGUAUGCCAACGCAUUGUAGCUCUUCAACUUAUGCAGUUGCAGAGUCGUGUAAAGCCCAAUGAAGUCACAGUGUUGAGUGUGUUCCUCUUGUCUUGUGGACGGCUGGCAAACUUGGGUCAAGGAAAACAGAUCCAUGCUUACAUAAACAAGAACUUGAUGACUUUGAUGAAAAUAAUCUUUGGGGCUAUGUUGAUUAAUUUGUGUGCCAUGUUGAAGCAUAAAGACUGCUUAAUCUUUUCCAUGAAUUCAACAAGAACUUGAUGACUUUGGUGAAAAUAAUCAUCAGGGCUAUGUUGAUUAAUUUGUAUGCCAUGUUGAAGCAUGGAGACUGCUUAAUCUUUUCCAUGAAUUGGGUUGAAAGAAUGUUUCUAGCUCAAACUCCCUGAUCAUAGAAUUGGCAAUCAAUGGGCAAGCUUACAAUGUUCUUGAUGUCUUUCAGCAGAUGUAGGCAUUAGGGGAGGAACGAAAUGACAUAACCUCUUUGGGGAUAUUAAUAGCCUGUCUUCAUGGUGGAUUGGUUCAUGAGGGGGUAGAUACUUUGACAGGUUUUAUGGGAUUCAUGCCAAGAUGAGGUAUUAUGGUGGCAUAGUUGAUCUCUUAGACCAAGUUGGGCUGUUGGAAGAGGCAGAAGGGAUCAGCAGAAGCAUGUCGAUGAAACCAGACAUGAUGGUUUUGGGUGCCUUGCUCAAUGCCUAGGAUUCACAGAGACGUGAUUGUUGCAGAUAAAGUAAGAAGUGAAAUUCUUAAAUUGAAGGCUCACCAAUCUGGUUGCCAUGUUUUAGUCUAAUAUCCAUGCCUCUAGGGUUAGAUGGCAUGAUGCUUAGGAGAUGAGUAUCCUUUGUGACUUUUGGGUGCUUAUUUCGAGUGUUUUGGUGCUAAAAAGCCGCAUCUAAAGCCAUCUGACUGUUGCAGUGGUUUUUGUAGGGGGUAAUUCUGCAAAAAAAAAACUUUCUGCUAUACCAAUUGAAUGUUGGAGAAUUUGGAGGCAAUUCAUGCAGAGGAGUAUUCAAGUCAUUUACGCUUGAAGGGCGACCUUUUGAUGUUUGCAUGAGGCAGAAAUCUAAUUGCAGUGGUAGCACUACAAAAGAGUAUAAUGUGAGGGGUGUAUAUGCAGAAAACCCUAAUAGAUAUUGCUAGGUCCUAUAAUUUAUUCUGUAUCAAACAUCAAGCACCAUAUGCUACCAUCAUGGCAAGAAGAUACGUUGUAUCUUAACGCUUCAUCACAUGUAAUUUAUGCCAAAUAUUUGUAUACAUAAUUACAGCUUAAUAUACAUGACUUAGAUCAAUACACUUAUAUAUUGCAAAAAUCAAUAGACAUAUUAUAUAAAUGCCAUGUAUUUAAUUGCCACUCACUUUUGUUGCUAAAUUGGAUUAAUUCAGUGUUUGACAAUUUCAGUUUCAGUUGAUAAAAGAAUAUUUCUUGUGACCUAGUAAACAUGACAACAUUACGUGGGCCAUUUUUCUGGAUUGUUUGACAUGCAGUAACAUUUUCUUCUUUGCCAGUUUGUUGUGCCCUGUAAUUUUGUUUCUUGUUUUUUCCCCUAACCAGAAACCUUUCCAGGUGAUGACAAAGUUCUGUUCAGAGCGCAUUGCAAAAUAUGCUUUCGAGUAUGCAUACCUGAACAAUCGGAAGAAAGUUACAGCUGUGCAUAAGGCCAAUAUUAUGAAGCUUGCAGAUGGUCUAUUCUUAGAAUCUUGUCGUGAGGUUGCAACAAAAUACCCAGUGAUAAAGUACGAUGAAAUCAUUGUGGACAACUGUUGUAUGCAGCUGGUGUCGAAGCCUGAGCAGUUUGAUGUCAUGGUACUUUUCUCUAUCUUUUUUCAACAUUUACAGUGCAGAUGUUUAUUUUUCUAGUCAUCUUAUUGGUUGGCCUGAUUGUUCUAUCCGUUAAUUGCUUAUGUCAAUGGUCUCUUUUAUCUCAAUGUUGAUAGAUUUAAAGAUAUGCAGUAUAUAACGUUUGAGUUGUACUGCAUCAUAUAAUUCUUUAUCUCACUAUCAUUUGCUGUAUAGUUAUUUUCUGCAUCUAUGGAAUCUUUAUUGGAUCCUUUGAUUAAUCUGAUAUUACAUUAGGUACUUGAUGAUGGAAACAUUUGAAUUGUAUUUAAGUGAUUUAUUAAAUUUCUUGACCUGUAUUUAUAAAUGAAUCCAUCUUUUAUGCAAUCAUGCGAUAACCAUUGUAUCUAAUGAUGAUAGAUUUCGGACUACUAUAUCAGGAACUUUUGAAGAAGCACAUGGACAAUGUCAAAAUGGAUAACAGCAAGACAGCUGAAAAAGUUUAUACUCUUUUAAGUCUCGAACAUAUUACCAGGAAAAGAUUGUUGCUUGAAUUCAUUAGUUUUAGAGCCUCUAUGCAGGUUAGAGGGCUAUGUUUUGUGGCAGAAUGGACAUUGCUUGGUUGUACAAAAUGGCCUUCUGGGUUUGUAGAUAGGUUUUAUGAACCGUCAUUUUUCCAAAGUGGGUUUAUCAAAAGCGACCAAACAAGUUUUUUUCUACAUCAUUAUUCUAAAGGUUUUAUACAAAUCCAUUUUCUUAAAACUUGGCACCAAACAGUCCAUUGGAGAUUGGAACAGAACCGGCAACUCUAUUAUGGAAAAUUAUAUAAUUUGAUUAGGUUCAAGUUACACCUGAUGUAGUUCUACAAGAGUUACACCUUUUUUGAAUUGAACAAUGGGGGUCACACAUUGAUUAUCCAAGCUAUUAGAUGUGAUUUACUACUUCUAAACUACUUACACAUCAAAAAUCAUAUAAUCUGGAGAUCUCUAGGCUAUGCAUCAAGUGGUCAAAAAUUUGCAAUUUAGAGAACACAAUAGUACAUAUUUUUUGACUACUUGAUACAUAAAUUAGAGGUCUCUUAAUCACAUAAUUUUUGGUAUGUAAGUAUUUUAUAGAUAGUAGAUAAUAUUCAAUGGUUUGGAUCAUCAAUGUGGAUACUCAUUGUUCAUUUUUUUCAGAAAAAGGUGUAACUCAAUGAGAGUUAUACCAGAUUUAACUUGAUCUUUUGUAAUUUAAUGGAAAGUAAAAUGGUUUUAAACUACUCCUUUGGGGUUAGAAUAAAGUUAAAUGGUACUGAACUACUCCUUUGGGUUUAGAAUCAUAUGAACUGCUUAUUACUGGUUCGUUUUAUGUCCCACUUGAUGCAAAGCCAACAAACCUACAAUACAUGGCUAAGUUUCAAUUAAAAGAAUAACAUGAACAAGUGCAAGUGGUUUAAAUGGCAUGAAAUCAGUAGAGAUAGUUCAUUUGAUUUGAAGCAAAGAAAACUCCAAAACAUCUCAUCAUUGGUUCUAGACAUUUUAAAUGCAGUAGAUAAUACCAAAAAAAUGCAGUAGAUCAUGGUUAGCCUAUUACUUAUUUUGCAUUGCGUGGUUCGCCCCCAAAUCCCACUGCCAGGAUCCUCUCUCUCGCUCUGUGUGUGCGCGCGCGCACGCGCCUGUGCACAUUUAUUUCCAUCAACAUUUCAUUUCUUUGCUUGUAUCAUGCAUAUUUGUUCUUAUUCGCAGGUUACACCAAAUCUGUAUGGCAAUCUGGUGGCGAACACAGCUGCUGGUAUUGCUGGAGGCACCGGUGUAAUGCCAGGAGGUAACUAAUUCUCGAUAGACACUUAAAUGCAGUUUCAUUUUGGUCACUUGGAUUUGUCUUUAUUUUGUAGUAUGCUUAUUACUGCUUCCAGCACUAGGGAAUGGUCUGCACUGUUACCAUUUCCUUAUACAAGCACUACUUUUUGUUAACUUGUGUAUAAACAUAGGGCCUUGGGCUAUGCAUGAACCUAAAAAUCGUGAAGCCUUAUUGACUGCAAUUUUUAGACUGUCAUGCUGGCUGUGUGCAAAACAAAUUAUGCAAACAAUCAAAUAAUCUGUCGUCCUCUUCAUGUGCCAUAGCUGAAGGUCAGAAUGGGGGCGUUAAUGCAAUCACAUAAUAGACUUUAUAGAUUACUAGAGUCUUGCACAUGUGGUGAACGUGCACAAGCUUCUUUUUUUUCUUAGGGGAGGGUCGUCAGUGCUUGCAGGAAAACCUUUUUUUUUUCCUGAGAGGAUCAAGUAGGAAAAGAGGGGACUCUGAGAUGAGUAUUUAAUUUGUUGGGGGACUCUUAAGCUGCAGGCCUUCGUGAAGCUGGCCUGAAGGCUUUCCCAUUAUAGUAGAUACCAGUUCGCUUUGCUGAGUGCAGUAAUUGAUAUUAUUUUUUGGCUGGCUGUCAAUCAGCAUGUUUCUUUGAUGUUCUAUUUUGUUGUCUUGAGUUGUGUCAUGGUGCAUUGUAUGCUGGAAUCUGCUCCAUGCAUUUGAGUGGUUUUCGGGUGGGGCAUUGAAAUGCUUUCAAGCAGCUGCUGAGGAUGUAUUCUUUAAUUGACAUCAUAUUUCUUUACUGUCAACAACUUCACAUUUUUUAUUUCCCUUUUAUCUUUUGUCAGGCAACGCCGGUCAAGAUCAUGCAGUUUUUGAGCAAGGUGCUUCCGCUGGCAAUGUAGGAAACCAGAAGAUAGUGGAACUGAAGAAGGCAAAUCCAGUAGCUCUUCUUCUUUCCUCGGCAAUGAUGUUGAGGCAUCUCCAGUUCCCUUCAUUUGCUGACCGGCUAGAGACCGCUGUCAAGCGAGUAAUUUUGGAAGGCAAAUACAGGACCAAAGAUUUAGGAGGGGUUAGCACCACCCAAGAAGUUGUUGAUGCAGUCAUAGCAGCGCUGGACUGAUGAUCCUGAUCUUUUUGCCGAGUAUUGUUGCGGACAACAGAUCAUUUGCUUCUCCUAAAAUAUUAAUUUUGUUUUAUGACCUAAGUAACUUUGAUAUUUACAACUCCCACUAUGGCAACCUGAUUUCAGAAACAUGAUUCUUUUUCUUUAGAUGAUUCAAUUCUUGUCCAAUAUAGAUGUAUCUGGAUUUCAAGUUAUUUCAUGUAAAGUCAUAAAUUGGAAAUAAACAGGCAGAGGCAUUCUAAAUAAUAAUAAAUUUACUGUGUUAUCUCUCUGGCAGUUUGGCAGUUUGGGGGUCUACUAGUUGGACAAUGGAUGCUAUUUUGGCUUGCACGAGCUAAGAGUAACUAGAAGCUGGCAUUUUGAGUUUAUUGCAAUGCAAUUGAUUGGUCUAAUCCUUAGCUGAAAAUGCCAUUCCCAUGGCAUGAUACCAGGUACAGUUGUUUGUCUUUAAAAAGCGGUUAAAACAAGAGCCACACUGGUUUGGAGAGGGAGGGGAGAGGGAGGGAGCAUGGACUCUCAUGAGUACUUCCUGAGGACGAUGCACCGAGUGGAUGACCUAGGAGAGCUUUUGGAUCGGUUGGUGGGUGAUCGGCCGACCAUUGGAGCAAGCGAGAAAGGAAACUGAAUUUGGCAUGCGAUUGUAUAGGAUUGGAUUGCACACAAUCAGGCACAAGAAUCUGCAGUCAAAUUUUCAGCUGUAUCUGAGCUUUGAAAUUCUCAUUUCUUUCUAUGAGGGAAGUAAACUAAAUAAAAAACUUAAAAAGUUUUAGAAAAUUAUGAAUUGAUGAUUCCUUAACAAAUUCCUUGGUAUUUCAAAUCCAUACUGUUUGGUUCUCAAUCAUGUCAUAGCCGCCACCUCCUCCCACAUCUUCUCUUUCCCUCCUGCCAUUUUUUGUUCCCACUCUUUCUUCACUUCAUGUGUAUCACACACAUCUUUUGCCUGUCAGCCUUAAUGAUUGUGCAUGAAGUUUCCUGAAGUUACAUAAAUUUGGCCUUAAUAUUUGGAUGCCAUCCUCGAUCAAAACUUGUCAUUGAUUAUCGGAAUCUUUUCUAUGUUUCAUUAGCUCCCUUUGUUGCCUCUUGUGCUAAUGAAUUUUAUAUAAUUCUUUCUAAAAUAUUUUGAGGUUUCUUUAUAACUUAAGACCCAUAUUUUGCCAAUGAUUCUAUAGUUAGCUUGUCCCUGUCGUAGGUAAAUGGCAACCAAUGAAUGGCAAAAUUGAUCUUGGUGCUAUUAUAUUGUGUCUCUCAAUUAUUGAAAACAACCGAAGGUAGUGCAUGAAUUAAUUAGUUACAUUUUGUGCAACUUUUAUCAAUCAGUAAAUACACUGUUAUCCAUCCAAAGACUCUGCGAUAAAGCUCUCUGAAGAAUCCCAAUAAGGAUAACAGGUUAGGUUAACAUUGAAAGUUGAGGAAAGAAAGAGGAGUAUAAUAUAGUUAAAAAGGCAAUAAUAAGGAAGGUAGCAUUUAAUAGGAAAUUUAUGGAGAACUGAAAAUAUCUAUUUGCAAUGCUUAAAAAAUAUUUUAGUUUGAGAAUACACGAGCAUGGUUAACCUUAUCAAUAGCUGAAAUGUUUGAACUUCUAGUUGUCUGCUGUUCAUGUAUUAAGCUGAAAUGUUAUCCAUCAGUUUAUGGUCGAUAAUCCCUUCAAGCCUAGAAGUCCAUGCCACAUUGUGGCCAAGCUUUAUAGACACAACAGGGAUAUUUUCAUCGACUAGUCCUUUUCAAAAAUUAAAUGGAGAUGUUAGCCUGUUGAACUUCAUUAUAAAAAUUAUGUUCUCCAAGUUUAAACCUGAAUUUGAUUUCUAUAAAUAUAUCUAUUAUAAAUCAAUUCACAAUCAACAUUACAUAAGGCAAAUUUUAUCUCUUUGCUGUUUAUAAAUGAGUUAACAGGUGCUACUCUUUUCAUGAUUCGGCAAACACUACUGAUAAUGUUUUUGAUUCCACCCGUCAAAAAUGAAAUACUGAAAUAAAGAGACAAUGCAAGAAUGUAAAUUGUUUUUCAAAAGAAGGCUGUUAAGGAGUUCUUGAUAGAAAUGAAGCAUUUAUUAUAAUGAUCUUUUGAUUCUAAGCAGUUCUGAAACAAACUGAUGAUGACAAGCAGUUGAUUCCUCUUUACCACCUUCUCUGUGAGGCCUCCUGCUCGCCGAAACUCCUCUUUAGGAAAGAAGAAAUAACCAAGAAAUAAUAUCAUUUGUUUCCCAAAGAAACAUCAAUGUUUAUUUAGGGAGGCAUCAAUACUAUAUUACUACCAUGUUAGAAAGAUCUUAAAAUUAGAGUAAUUUUCUUACCAUGCGAUUCUUGAAAACCACAGGGGGAAAUAUAAACCCAAUUUGCUACCUGAUCUUCAUGACAUCCCUAUUGCUAACCAUAACUAAUUUUUUUGAACAGAAUAUUCUUCUUUCACUCAUCUUUUUUUAAAAUGACAAAGGAUAAUUUGAUAUUUAAACAAUUUUUGCUUCAUAAAAAAUGAAAAUGGAAAUACAGUUGAUCAGAACUCAUCCCUUAUUUCAUCCCUCUCAGCCAGCAACCGCCGCCCUAAAUCCGUCCUCUCAUGCUACAGCUCUAACAAAGGGCUUUUUUUUGGGAAAAAACCAACACUAAUAAAAAA
rnacentral:lncRNA from 1 species